rnacentral:lncRNA from 1 species
CCCAAAACGUAUCUUUAUUUAUCAGUGUGAAUGAUCACCAGUAGUUCAUAGUUACACAGCCUGGGCCAUGUUCAUUAGGAAUGCAACCAAAAGUGUUUCAAAACAUUUUGCAUCGGAAAACUAAAGGAGUCGUUUCUCUUUCAACAAGCCCAUGUAUUUCCUCCCUCUCGGUUUUGGUCCGUUUGGUAUCUAAUAAACACAACCCUGGAGAGUUCUUACACAGAGGACAACAUCACUUCAUGGACAUGACCGUCACCAUCAUUAAAAUGGCUGUUUUUAUUUACACUGCUCAGUAACAACAUUCUAAGUGUUGUUUUUAUUUACACUGCUCAGUAACAACAUUAUAAGUGAAGUAGAGUUUUUAUUUACACUGCUCAGUAAUACAUUCUGAAGUUAGUUUUUAUUUACACUGCUCAGUAAUAACAUUCUGAAGUGAAGUUUUUAUUUACACUGCUCAGUAAUAACCUUCUGAAGUAGAGUUUUUAUUUACACUGCUCAGUAAUAACAUUCUGAAGUGUAGUUUAUAUUUACACUGCGAGUAACAACAUACAAAGAAUAACGUCAGUGUGUGAAGAGGUAACAGUCACCAUGUGUUGAUUCUCCUAAAGAGAAAUAUAAUCAACAUUCAACUUAUUUUUGCUUCAAUGGACAGUGCUAUACACGCAGAAAGGAAACAUCAUUGGUGCAGUAGAUACAAUGUGUGAGAUACACACAGCCUAAACACAUUCUGAUAGGUCGCAAUAAUAUGUAGAAUCCCCAGAUAUAACCAUAAUGGCAUCUAGUACAUGUCAACUCUGCCACUGUCUAUUCUAUUGUCUUAGCUACAGCCGUGUGUGUGGUGUUUGUGGUGUUGUGUGUGUGUGUGGUGUGUGUUGUUGUGUGUGUGUGUGUGUGUGUGUGUGUGUGUGUGUGUGUGUUGUGUGUGUGUGUGUGUGUGUGUGUGUGUGUGUGGUUGUGUUGUGUGGUGUGUGUGUUGUGAGUGAUGACCAAGUGUGAUCGUGGUGCAUAUUCAAUCAAAUCAAAUCUCUGUGUGCAGACUACAUGGUGCCUGAGUCAAUCUUACAAAAAGGGGGCUGUAUAUGUGUUUCUAUGUGUGUGCGUGUGCGUGUGCGUGUGUGUGCGUGUGGCUGAUAAAUCCUCUCCUCAUUGCUUUACGGUCCAUUUAACCAAGACACAUACACACAGUAUUGUACCAGUGCAGUGGGUCUCUGUUCAGCCCAGCCCACCUGCCGUUAGCUUAUUGUUGAGCGGUGCCUCUGAAGAGCACAAUGAGACCACUGUCAGAGGAACAAGGGCGCAGAGGAGAGAGGGGCGGAGCUGGGGGGGAUUGAGGAGAGGGGCGGAGCUGGGGGCGGAGCUGGGAGGGCUUGAGGAGAGGGGCGGAGCUGGGGGCAGAGCUGGGAGGGAUUGAGGAGAGGGGCGGAGCUGGGGGCAGAGCAGGAGGUAGGCGGAGAGGGACUAGCUGGGCGGAGCUGGGGACAGAGCAGGAUGUAUGGAGGAGGGACGGAGCUGGGGAAAGAGCAGGGAGGAUGGAGGAGAGGGAUGGAGGAGAGGCGGAGCUGGGGGCAGAGCAGGGAGGAUGGAGGAGAGGGAUGGAGCUGGGGGCAGAGCGGGAGGGAUGGAGAGAGGGAUGAGCUGUGGCAGAGCAGGAGGGAUGGAGGAGAGAUGGAGCUGGGGCAGAGCAGGGGGGGAAUGAGCUGGGGCCAGAGCAGAGGUGGAGGAGAGGGAUGGAGCUGGGGACAGAGCAGGGAGGGAUGAGGAAGGAUGGAGCUGGGGGCAGAGCAGGGAGGGAUGGAGGAGGGGAUGGAGCUGGGGCAGAGCAGAAAGGGAUGGAGGAGAGGGACGGAGCUGGGGCAGAGCAGGGAGGGAUGGAGGAGAGGGACGACUGGGGACAGAGGAGGGAGGGAUGGAGGGAGGGACGGAGCUGGGGGCAGAGCAGGAAGGGAUUGAGGAGAGGACAGAGCUGGGGACAGAGGAGACAGGGACGGUACGAGGGACAGAGGAGGGAGGGACGGAGCUAGGGACGAGAGGAGGGAUGAGGAGAGGGACGGAGCUGGGGGCAGAGCAGGGAGGGAGGGAGGAAGGGAGGGAGGAGAGGUGAGCGGGGGUAGACAGGAGGGAUUGGAGGAGGGGACGAGCGGGACAAGGAGACAGGGACGGUACUAGGGACAGAGGAGGAGGGGACGGAGAGUGGACAGAGGAGGGAUGGAUGGAGCUAGGGACAGAGGAGGGAGGGACGGAGCAGGAACAGAGGAGGAGGGAUGGAGCUAGGGAGAAGAGGAGGGAGGGAUAAGCUAGGGACAGAGGAGGAGGGAUGGAGCUAGGGACAGAGGAGAGAGGGAUGGAUCUAGGGACAAGGAGAGGGGACGGUGCGAGGGACAUGGGACGUUCGAGGGACAGAGGAGGGAGGGAUGGAGGAGAGGACGGAGCUGGGGGCAGAGCAGGGAGGGAUGGAGGAGAGGGAUGGAGGAGAGGGAUGGAGCUGGGGGCAGACAGGGAGGGAUUGAGGAGAGGGGACGGAGCUUGGGACAGAGGAGGGAUGGAUGAGCUAGGGAAGAGGAGAGAGGGAUGGAGCUUGGGACAGAGGAUGGAGGGAUGGAGCUGUGCAGAGAGAAGGAUGGAGCUAGGGACAUAGGAGAGAGGGAUGGAGCUAGGGACAGAGGGAGGGAUGGAGGGACGGUAGGGACAAACGAGGAAAGAGGGAGGGACGAGAGUGCUGAGCGUGCAGAGA